CUUGUGAACUGCAGGACACAUGAACAUCGACAUUUCGAACGCACAUUGCGGUCCUCGGAUACUGUUCCCGGACCACUCCUGGCUGAGGGUCGUAU
rnacentral:rRNA from 2 species